AGCUCCUGAGCUUCUUCAUUGUCGCAUAAAUCUUCCGCCUUUUACCAAAGAUUUCGCGGAGUGGAGCUUAAUGCAGUGACCUGUAUUUUUUGGGGGGCUCUGGUUUCAUGCCAAGGC